AACGAACGCUGGCGGCAUGCCUAACACAUGCAAGUCGAACGAGACCUUCGGGUCUAGUGGCGCACGGGUGCGUAACGCGUGGGAACCUGCCCUUAGGUUCGGAAUAACUCCCCGAAAGGGGUGCUAAUACCGGAUAAUGUCUUCGGACCAAAGAUUUAUCGCCUUUGGAUGGGCCCGCGUUGGAUUCGCUAGUUGGUAGGGUAAAAGCCUACCAAGGCGACGAUCCAUAGCUGGUCUGAGAGGAUGAUCAGCCACACUGGGACUGAGACACGGCCCAGACUCCUACGGGAGGGAGCAGUGGGGAAUAUUGGACAAUGGGCGAAAGCGUGAUCCAGCAAUGCCGCGUGAGUGAUGAAUGCCUUAGGGUUGUAAAGCUCUUUUACCCGGGAUGAGAAUGACAGUACCGGGAGAAUAAGCUCCGGCUAACUCCGUG
rnacentral:rRNA from 1 species